GCUAGCUGGAAAAGCUCAAGCUAACGCUGCUGCUAGCAACGCUUACUUCCGCUGGAAGUCAUGCUACAUCCGCUCGGGGACCCGUCUGUUGCCACCUUCAGUUUUUGUCUGAGAAGAAGAACCACACCAGCGAACUAGUGUGGCUGAGUCUGUGGAAAUGAUACAGUUUGUAGGGCCAGAGAUACCUUUGAUCUAGGAUGAACUUCCUGAUGCAGCUGAAGAAAUUCUACCUGUCAGUACAGUCGAUGAGGCGGUUCUACACCUCAGUCACGGCCUCCUCCAUCACCGUGUGGUACGCUGGAGCCACCACCAGGCAGGGACAUGAAGAAGCUGCAGCGAGUUGCAUGCUCUGCUGAAAAGGUCAUUGGCUGCUAACUCCCCUCUCUACAGGACCUGCACACCUGCAGGACACUGAGGCGUGCAGGUCGGAUCAUAGCUGACCUGUGUCACCCUGGUCAGUCUCUUGGACUCGCCCCCAUCUGACUGGAGGCUCAGAUCCAUUCAGACCAGAACCUCUCCCCACAAGAAGCAAUUCUUCCUCUGUGCUGUUGGACUCAUGAAGAAGAAGAAGAAGAAGAAGAAGAAGACAAUAUCAUUUCUAUAGCGCCUCUCAAGAUAAAAAUCACGAGGCGCUUAGAAAACGUUUAAAAAUAUAUUUAAAAUGAGCAAAAAGAGACAAUUGUGAUAAAAAAAUGUUAAGAAAGAGAGAGAGAAUAGAAAAGAGGGACAUCAGUGGAUCCUGAGGAAGGUGGAAUAGGUGGGGAGAGCAGAAUAAAGAGAGAGUGGUGAAGAAGGUCAUACACAAGCCAGCUUGAACAAGUGAGUCUUCAGCUGCUUUUUAAAGGAGACCACUGAGUCCACUGAUCUCAGGCUCAGGGGGAGAGAGUUCCAGAGUCUGGGGGCCACAGCAGCAAAUGAUCUGUCACCUUUGUUCUUUAGCCUGGUGCGCUGCACAACCAGUAGGCUUUGAUCACUGGACCUCAGGGACCUGCUGGGGGUGUAGGGACUAAGAAGAUCACCAAUGUAAGAUGGUGCUUGUCCAUGUAAGGCCCUAUAGACCAGAACCAGGAUCUUGAAAUGAACCCUGAAAGUGAUCGGCAGCUGGUGAAGAUGGAGGAGAAGCGGGGUGACGUGGGUGUGUUUGGAAUAGUCCUAGGGCUGCCCACUCCUGUGGCUUUGUUCCAGUCACAUGACCCUGAGUAGUGUUUGGGCUCUGAGCAGCACUGAUACUGUCUCGUAUAAAUUAGUAAUUUCUCUUAUUGCUGCUCCUUCAUGUUAUUUUUAAACCUUUUAUUGGUCUUAUUUCUUGUUUCUGAACCAAGCACUGCAGCUAUUUCCUAAUGAGGCGAACCUGCUCACACAUAUGGAAAUAAAACUUCUGAUUCUGAACAUAAUAAAGGUCCUUCAAUGAAGAAACAGCUGAUUUGUUCAUUGUUUUCCGACCAAGAUGACUUCCUCUUUGUUUCAGGCUGUGUGGAAAUGUAUCCGUCUGUAUGGUGAACUCUGACCCAGAUGAAACGUCUAAAAUCUCGUCUUCCGCAGCAGUGAAGAACAUCAGCACAGAGACAUGGGGGGAGGAGCCAACUGAUUAGCCUCCUCCCUCUGACCCAGCAGCUGAGUACUGAUGAAGACUAAACACAAAGAUCAGUGUUCCUCCUGCUCACCACUGCAGACAUGAUGCCUCUGAUGGUCUCAGCGCUGCUGGCUGCUGCGUGCCUCGAAAUCAGAGCACAAACCGACAGCGUCCUGCAGGAAAAACCAGAGGUGGUCGCUGGCCAGGGAGGCUCUGUAAGUCUCAGCUGUCUGUACAACACCAGUUCAUCAAACCAUUAUCUCUACUGGUACAGACAGGAAGGAAACAACAGGCCCCAGUUCAUCCUGAGUCGCUUUAAGAUCGGAGAAGGGAAAAACGCAGACAAGGAGAAAUAUUCAUCCACCCUCAAUCAUGAGGUGAAAUCAGUUCCUCUGAGGAUCCAGAAGCUUCAUGUGACAGACUCUGCUGUGUACUACUGCGCUCUGCAGCCCACAGUGACAGGAAACAGUAAAAGUGUGUAGAAAAUCUGCAGAGCAAACAUCCACUAGAGGGACUCACAUACUGGGAACUCUGGUUGUUGAGUCGUUGGACUGAUGACAAAGACAACAGACACAUGAAGCAGCAGACAUCAGACACAGCUGCUGCAGAAGCACAAAAGCAUCUGAUUGGUUGAGCUGAUGUCCAAACAUUAUAUCAGGAGGUGACAAUCAUGUCUGGGAUUUUAAGGUCGCUGUAAUCAAACCUCUACUUAAGAAACCUUCUCUGGAUCCAGAUGACCCAAGGAAUUAUAGACCAACAUCUAACCUUCCAUUUUUAUCCAAAGUCCUCGAGAACAGAGCAGCCAAUCGAGCGUGAGCAUUGUAACGUUUUGUAAGUUACAACGUUACUCUACGAUUAAAGUUUUUAUUUAUUCCUGACGGGAA